rnacentral:rRNA from 1 species
GACGAACGCUGGCGGCGUGCUUAACACAUGCAAGUCGAACGAUGAAGCCGGAGCUUGCUCCGGUGGAUUAGUGGCGAACGGGUGAGUAACACGUGAGCAAUCUGCCCUUGACUCUGGGAUAACUGCGGGAAACUGUAGCUAAUACCGGAUACGACACCUUGGGGCAUCCCAGGGUGUGGAAAGAAUUUCGGUCAAGGAUAAGCUCGCGGCCUAUCAGCUAGUUGGUGAGGUAAUGGCUCACCAAGGCGACGACGGGUAGCCGGCCUGAGAGGGUGACCGGCCACACUGGAACUGAGACACGGUCCAGACUCCUACGGGAGGCAGCAGUGGGGAAUAUUGCACAAUGGGCGAAAGCCUGAUGCAGCAACGCCGCGUGAGGGAUGAAGGCCUUCGGGUUGUAAACCUCUUUUAGCAGGGAAGAAGCGAAAGUGACGGUACCUGCAAAAAAAGCACCGGCUAACUACGUGCCAGCAGCCGCAGUAA